ACCCCAUAAAUAAAGCUUUAAACUUUUUUUAGAAA
rnacentral:tRNA from 1 species